AGCGUAGGCGGGAAAUUAAGUUAAGUGUGAAAGCCUUGGGCUUAACCCAAGAAAUGCACUUAAUACUGGUUUUCUAGAGUGUAGGAGAGGUAAGUGGAAUUCCUAGUGUAGCGGUAAAAUGCGUAGAGAUUAGGAGGAACAUCAGAGGCGAAGGCGGCUUACUGGACGGUAACUGACGUUGAGGCUCGAAAGCAUGGGUAGCGAACA
rnacentral:rRNA from 1 species